ACAAAAAAAGCGGCGGCCGAGUCGUUUGGCAGAUGCUGACGCCCGGCUCUUCAUUGUGGCGUUAGGCGGCCGGGCUGCACCCCCCGCGUUAAUCGCUGCUGCUGGCCUGCAGAGCCCCAAAUUCCUCCAAACUGUGUUUUUUUUCCUGCCUUUCCUUCCCUGCAGGGCCAUUCCCGCUGCUACAGGGUGGGGAGGAUGCGGCUGGGCUCCUGCCAGCAGAGCGGGGACGCAGCUGGGGCCGCAACCGGUGCUGAGGGGAGCGGUGCUGGUGCCGGCGCUGCCAAGCCAGCCCUGGAGCCCCACAUCGCAAGGCCCAGGGGCCGUUCCCCUCCCUGCCCCAGCAACCUCAUCCGCUCCACGCGUGGCCUGGCCAAGCCCUCGUGUGGCCACAUUUCGAUCCACGCGGGGAUUUACACUGCAGAGCGAGGACACGGACGGCAUCCAGGGAGCUGGGGGGAAUCGAGCAAGAUUGCAACACUACCGAGGUAGAUGUCAGUGUGUCUGCAAAACCCUUGUCAGUCCUGGAGCCAAAGGAGAGUGCGCUGCUGGCGAAGGACCAGAGGAGAGCAAAGCACACGAUGCAGAAACACAGGUAGUGCUCACGCAUCUGCCAUGAGGAGGACAGCGGCCAUUCUGGCUGCCUGCAGAGGAUCAGCUCCUCCCUUGUCCCAAGAGCAAGCUCUUGUGUACACGAACUGUUAGUGCUGACUGCCCUAGCCUUUUCUAAAUAAAGAUGGAGUAGUUGAGCU